CGGGGGGAGCAAGCGUUGUUCGGAAUCACUGGGCGUAAAGGGCGUGUAGGCGGUCAGGUAAGUGAGAUGUGAAAUGCCCCGGCUCACCCGGGGACCGGCAUCUCAUACUGCUUGGCUUGAGUACGGGAGAGGAUGUGGGAAUUCCUGGUGUAGCGGUGAAAUGCGUAGAUAUCAGGAGGGACACCGGUGGCGAAGGCGCACAUCUGGCCCGAUACUGACGCUGAGGCGCGAAAGCUAGGGGAGCAAACGGGAUUAGAUACCCCGGUAGUCCUAGCCGUAAACGGUGAUCACUAGGUGUUGGAGGCAUUGACCCCUCCAGUGCCGCAGCUAACGCAUUAAGUGAUCCGCCUGGGGAGUACGGCCGCAAGGUUG
rnacentral:rRNA from 1 species